GACCCUGGGGCUGGGAUGCUCGACCCCAACCAGAAACCGCCUAGAGAAAGAGCAGGAACUGGCCACGGAAGAAACGCUAAUGGUCAAGACACUGUUUGAAAAGAAGCUCCCCCUCAAAGGAAUCAGAGACAGGGACCUGCAGGCAUUCAAAUGCACAACGAAACGCCCCAACACGCCCCUCGCCUGGAGACUGGAAAGCGGCCUGGAAGGGGGGGGGAGGGGUGCCCGGAGCGCCAGUAACCAUCACUUGCUACUUGUCACCAGGCGUUACCGGCCACACACCUCAGGCCACAGCUGAAGACUCUCCGCGAAGGCAGGGCUUUGCAGGGUUAUGUUAAAACCAACAUCACCCUUCGGUAUCUGAACGGCUCCAGUGGGAAUUCCUGAAUAUUUUUUACGCUCGCUCUGGCGUAAUCGCAAGCUUCCUUGACCUGAACUGGAAAUAAAGACGAAUCGCACGAUCGUCAUCAUUCAGGGACGUACCAGGGAAGUCUCUUCCGAAGGAGCCGGGCAAGAUCGUUCCGUUUUCGAUCAACUACUCAGAAAAGCGGUCCGCAAGGAGAGAGGAGAUUUUACUGGACAAUAAGCUAUGGAAAUCACUAGCGACAAAGGCCCCUCUCCCGGAGCCCUGAUGGCAGGGCCAAUACUCUGCCAGGUGCUUUGCAAACACCUGUGAAAUAAGAACCACGGUCCCCAUUUGUCACACAAGGAAAUAGAGGUUCUGAGAGAUUAAGUGACAGACCCGAGGUCACCAGCCUGGGCCAAGUCAGGAAGUUUUUUAAAGAAUGCACACUCGCGGGGCGCCUGGGUGGCGCAGUCGGUUGAGCGUCCGACUUCAGCCAGGUCACGAUCUCGCGGUCCGUGAGUU